GGUUAAGCGACUAAGCGUACACGGUGGAUGCCCUGGCAGUCAGAGGCGAUGAAGGACGUGCUAAUCUGCGAUAAGCGUCGGUAAGGUGAUAUGAACCGUUAUAACCGGCGAUUUCCGAAUGGGGAAACCCAGUGUGUUUCGACACACUAUCAUUAACUGAAUCCAUAGGUUAAUGAGGCGAACCGGGGGAACUGAAACAUCUAAGUACCCCGAGGAAAAGAAAUCAACCGAGAUUCCCCCAGUAGCGGCGAGCGAACGGGGAGCAGCCCAGAGCCUGAAUCAGUGUGUGUGUUAGUGGAAGCGUCUGGAAAGGCGCGCGAUACAGGGUGACAGCCCCGUACACAAAAAUGCACAUGCUGUGAGCUCGAUGAGUAGGGCGGGACACGUGGUAUCCUGUCUGAAUAUGGGGGGACCAUCCUCCAAGGCUAAAUACUCCUGACUGACCGAUAGUGAACCAGUACCGUGAGGGAAAGGCGAAAAGAACCCCGGCGAGGGGAGUGAAAAAGAACCUGAAACCGUGUACGUACAAGCAGUGGGAGCACGCUUAGGCGUGUGACUGCGUACCUUUUGUAUAAUGGGUCAGCGACUUAUAUUCUGUAGCAAGGUUAACCGAAUAGGGGAGCCGAAGGGAAACCGAGUCUUAACUGGGCGUUAAGUUGCAGGGUAUAGACCCGAAACCCGGUGAUCUAGCCAUGGGCAGGUUGAAGGUUGGGUAACACUAACUGGAGGACCGAACCGACUAAUGUUGAAAAAUUAGCGGAUGACUUGUGGCUGGGGGUGAAAGGCCAAUCAAACCGGGAGAUAGCUGGUUCUCCCCGAAAGCUAUUUAGGUAGCGCCUCGUGAAUUCAUCUCCGGGGGUAGAGCACUGUUUCGGCAAGGGGGUCAUCCCGACUUACCAACCCGAUGCAAACUGCGAAUACCGGAGAAUGUUAUCACGGGAGACACACGGCGGGUGCUAACGUCCGUCGUGAAGAGGGAAACAACCCAGACCGCCAGCUAAGGUCCCAAAGUCAUGGUUAAGUGGGAAACGAUGUGGGAAGGCCCAGACAGCCAGGAUGUUGGCUUAGAAGCAGCCAUCAUUUAAAGAAAGCGUAAUAGCUCACUGGUCGAGUCGGCCUGCGCGGAAGAUGUAACGGGGCUAAACCAUGCACCGAAGCUGCGGCAGCGACGCUUAUGCGUUGUUGGGUAGGGGAGCGUUCUGUAAGCCUGCGAAGGUGUGCUGUGAGGCAUGCUGGAGGUAUCAGAAGUGCGAAUGCUGACAUAAGUAACGAUAAAGCGGGUGAAAAGCCCGCUCGCCGGAAGACCAAGGGUUCCUGUCCAACGUUAAUCGGGGCAGGGUGAGUCGACCCCUAAGGCGAGGCCGAAAGGCGUAGUCGAUGGGAAACAGGUUAAUAUUCCUGUACUUGGUGUUACUGCGAAGGGGGGACGGAGAAGGCUAUGUUGGCCGGGCGACGGUUGUCCCGGUUUAAGCGUGUAGGCUGGUUUUCCAGGCAAAUCCGGAAAAUCAAGGCUGAGGCGUGAUGACGAGGCACUACGGUGCUGAAGCAACAAAUGCCCUGCUUCCAGGAAAAGCCUCUAAGCAUCAGGUAACAUCAAAUCGUACCCCAAACCGACACAGGUGGUCAGGUAGAGAAUACCAAGGCGCUUGAGAGAACUCGGGUGAAGGAACUAGGCAAAAUGGUGCCGUAACUUCGGGAGAAGGCACGCUGAUAUGUAGGUGAAGUCCCUCGCGGAUGGAGCUGAAAUCAGUCGAAGAUACCAGCUGGCUGCAACUGUUUAUUAAAAACACAGCACUGUGCAAACACGAAAGUGGACGUAUACGGUGUGACGCCUGCCCGGUGCCGGAAGGUUAAUUGAUGGGGUCAGCGCAAGCGAAGCUCUUGAUCGAAGCCCCGGUAAACGGCGGCCGUAACUAUAACGGUCCUAAGGUAGCGAAAUUCCUUGUCGGGUAAGUUCCGACCUGCACGAAUGGCGUAAUGAUGGCCAGGCUGUCUCCACCCGAGACUCAGUGAAAUUGAACUCGCUGUGAAGAUGCAGUGUACCCGCGGCAAGACGGAAAGACCCCGUGAACCUUUACUAUAGCUUGACACUGAACAUUGAGCCUUGAUGUGUAGGAUAGGUGGGAGGCUUUGAAGUGUGGACGCCAGUCUGCAUGGAGCCGACCUUGAAAUACCACCCUUUAAUGUUUGAUGUUCUAACGUUGACCCGUGAUCCGGGUUGCGGACAGUGUCUGGUGGGUAGUUUGACUGGGGCGGUCUCCUCCUAAAGAGUAACGGAGGAGCACGAAGGUUGGCUAAUCCUGGUCGGACAUCAGGAGGUUAGUGCAAUGGCAUAAGCCAGCUUGACUGCGAGCGUGACGGCGCGAGCAGGUGCGAAAGCAGGUCAUAGUGAUCCGGUGGUUCUGAAUGGAAGGGCCAUCGCUCAACGGAUAAAAGGUACUCCGGGGAUAACAGGCUGAUACCGCCCAAGAGUUCAUAUCGACGGCGGUGUUUGGCACCUCGAUGUCGGCUCAUCACAUCCUGGGGCUGAAGUAGGUCCCAAGGGUAUGGCUGUUCGCCAUUUAAAGUGGUACGCGAGCUGGGUUUAGAACGUCGUGAGACAGUUCGGUCCCUAUCUGCCGUGGGCGCUGGAGAACUGAGGGGGGCUGCUCCUAGUACGAGAGGACCGGAGUGGACGCAUCACUGGUGUUCGGGUUGUCAUGCCAAUGGCACUGCCCGGUAGCUAAAUGCGGAAGAGAUAAGUGCUGAAAGCAUCUAAGCACGAAACUUGCCCCGAGAUGAGUUCUCCCUGACUCCUUGAGAGUCCUGAAGGAACGUUGAAGACGACGACGUUGAUAGGCCGGGUGUGUAAGCGCAGCGAUGCGUUGAGCUAACCGGUACUAAUGAACCGUGAGGCUUAACCUU
rnacentral:rRNA from 1 species